GCUCCAUACACACCUCACACCAUACAUAAUCUACACACACAAAUUCCAGACUGUCUCUCUUACACACACACUCUGGGACCCAUAUGCCCACAGCACACAGCAUCUCAGGCGUGCACCCCGCAUUCUGGCCUCAGGAUGUAGACUCGCUGAAAGUCAGCCUUGUCUGAGACAGACGCCCGCUGCCCUGCACGCACCCUAGAAAGCCCUGGCUCCCAUCCGGCACUUCGGCACGCAUAUGGCUCAAACCCAUCUCCACAGCAACGCUGUUCCAUAGAACAACAACGCAGGUCACACUUGUGACUUAACCUGUCUAAUAUCCACAUGCAACAAGGGGUGUGGUGGCCCGCGCCUGUAAUCCCAGCUACUUGGGAGGCUGAAGCAGGAGGAUCAUGUGGGCCCAGGAGCUCCAGACCAGCCUGGCAACCUAAUGAGACCCUGUCUCUGAAAAAAAAAAAAACAAGAGAGCCAGAAGAAAAUUGCUUUUAAUAAUACAUUUUAUUUAUCCCAUGAUCACCAGUGUUAUUUCAACAUAAAAUCAAUAUAAAAAUUGUUAUCGCGUUGGUUGACAUCCUGUUUGCACUUGGCCUUGGAAACCUGGUGUGCGUCUCCC
rnacentral:lncRNA from 10 species